CAUAUCUAUUUCUAAACGGCAAUUAAGCUUAUAUCCCAGAAGACAAUAACAAUUUUUUUUGUGUUUCUACCCGAGUUGCGUCUCCCCCAGAAUAUAACCCCUACAAAUGUGAAAGUGACAUGGUCGAUCGAUGGGCUGUUACCUGGUCCCAGGAGGCCAAAGUUUCCAAAUCAAGCACCAACCACCCUAUAGGAAGUCUUUAAGGGGAGGAAUCUCCAUUUUUUAAUGAAAAUAGGGAUUAGUUGUAGGGUUUACAUUACAUAGAACUUUAACAAUCUGAACCCUUUAUUUUUCAAAUUGCACCUCAUAAAUCAUCCUUACAAAACAUUAGCCAAAUAAGAAAUAUUUAAGAAUUCUAAUUGGGUUCAAAUAAAUUAACGAAUACUUUGUUAUAUAAGAAACAAUGAAAUUUUAUCUUGAUAGUUAAAUAGGCAAAUAAUUUCGGAUUGAAUUGAAUUUUUAUAAGGAUGAUCUAUGAAUCGAGACUUAUAAACUAAACGGUUCGGAUAAUUGAAGUUCAAUGUGGAGUGGGCCUCACACCUAAUCCCCAUUUUUU
rnacentral:lncRNA from 1 species